UAUCACCUUGAUCAUUUAAAAAAUCUAAAUUAUGUUAUUGGCUGGGAAUAUUUCUGUAUGUAUUUAUAUGCAAAUAACAUGUAAAUCAUAUUCUUGUAUUAGGCUCCCAAGGAGAUUUGUGACACCUGGGCUCAUGCUGACCCCAUCCCUCCUCUCAUUAUUCAUAAACACCCAUCCCCAAAUCCAGAUAUCCCAGAAAAUCAAAUCUUUAUAAGUCUUGGAAGUAUGAUAUAAAGCUGUCUCAUAUCUAUGAAAUCAACAACAUAAAAUCAAUCCCCAGGACCUUCCCUUGCCCUCCCCUCCUCCUUCCUCGGGGCCCCCUUCCUCUCCUUACUUGUCUCUCUCCUAUUUUCAUGAGGUCCCACCUACUUUUCCCCUUUUAGUCCUCUCUAGAUUCCACAUAUGAAAACCAUGUUCAUCCAGGCUCUGUGUCAAAUUAAACUCUAAAACUUGUUUUUUCUCCCAAGACAGAAAACAAAGGAAAAGCAUGAGCGCCAUCUGGUGGAGAAACUUACCAUUAUCAUCCUCAGUUGAUCAGUAUUUUAUCCCAAAUCCUCCCAAACACAUUCCACACAGCUGCCUGCACGCAGGGUUUUCCCAUUCCACCUGUUUGGGAGGUCUGGGGGCACAGUCCCCCCUCCAGGGGCAUCCUGUACCCACCUUGGGGUGCUCCUCAGGCACGUGCUGCUUGGAGAACUUGGCCAGCUGCACCAGCUCGGGGAUGACCUCCUUGACAUCAUAGCUGUUGGUGCAGUUCACCAGUGUGGUGGCCACUGAGUACAGAAUGGUCUUGUCACUGGUCUGCAGACACCGGGUUAGGGGGGAAGGCAGAAAGGAACUUUGGAACCGAACUCUGCUUCCAAGACAGCUCCCUGACAUGGUGAGCAAAUUGGCUUGGAAGGAGUGUGGCUGGUGGGGCUCGGCUUGGAGAAGUACAGGUGGCACAGGAGGGGAACCGGCUCUGCUCUUAGAGGGUGGCAGAAAUGUCUCCUGAACCCCCAGCAGCACCACAACAGUAGGCCAGUGGCUUCUCACCCAGCACCUUGCUUGGUGCCUUUCAAAAGCCCAGCGCACUCACAUCCCACUACCUGGAGUGGGCACUUGGGUGGGAGCUGGAGCUCUGCUCUGGCUCUACUGGAAAUCCUUCCCGCACUUCCAGAGGGAGUGAAGCACUGCCCCAACGCCCUCGGGACCUCCUCACUCAUGGCCAUGGGCAAAUAUGCCAUCUUCCCUCUGCCUGGAAGGCACGUGGAUUCACUUUCAGCCAGAAACAGUUUGCAGACCCUGGGAAGAGAGAAAGGAGAAGCACAGUAAAGGCAGCGUCUUCGCCACCUGAGCCUCACCUGGCUCAGUCCUGGCUUCCUGACCACACCCCCAUGACUGAGCCACAGAUUUGCAGAAUCGACAACCUGGGACUGAAUCUGGGUCAAGGCCAGAUUGAGCACUUGCUCCUAAUGACUAGAACGUGCGAGUGAUGGUGUGCAGCUGCUGAGGCUGGUGUGUGAGAGACACUGCCCUCCUCCCUGCUCUACCCUGGAUCAUCACUCAGGGAAGCAGCUGCCAUGGUGAGGACUCUUCAGCCUGUGGAGAAGUCCACAUGGGGAGGAACUGAGGCCUCCCACCAACAGCCAGCACCAGCAUGCCAAUCAGGUGAGUGCGCCAUCUUGGAAGUCCAGUCAAGCCUUUGGAUGGCUGCAGCCCAGGCCAACUUAGGAUUGUAACUUCAAGAGAGAUCCUGAGCCAGAACCACCCACCCAGGAGACUCACGUGAUAUACUCCUCACAGAUCUUUCGGAAAUGAUCGCGCUCCGGAUCACAUCGCAGGUCAUCGUAGAGCUUGUUAAUGAGGAUGGAGGCCAGCAUGCGGGUGUUGUCGGUCAGGGGCAGGCAGGAGGGCAGAUCUGGAACCUGCCCCACUACCUUCAGAAUCUUCCUCAGGCCUGCAGGGGGACAGGGGCAAGAGUGAGAUUCCUGCUGGGCUCUGUCCUCAGGAACAUACCCCUGACUAAGCAAUGUCCUGUCUCUAGCUUCGCUCCAACCCUGCCUUUAGACAGGAGAGCCUAGGGCACCGGAGUGGAGACAAGAGACCCAGGUCCUCCACCUGGCUCUGCCCCUACCUUGAGUGAUCCACCAUUCUCUGUGGGCCUCCAUUUUCACCUUUUCAAAAUCAUGAUGAGUUGAUCUCAGAGGACUCUACCAGUGCUAACAUUCCGUGAGUAGACACGCAGUCUUCCUCACAUACUAUUUUAUCUUCUCUUUUCUCUAGGCCACAGUUUCUUAAAUUGUGAAAAUGGACAUAAUACUACCUACCUUAUAGAGCUUGAGGACUCAAUAAGAAAAUAAUAAGCAGAAAUAGCCAGGUGCCCAUCUGAGACAUAAUUGUCACUCA